UGGAUUUUUGGAUCAGGGA
rnacentral:miRNA from 2 species